UACAGAGGGUGCGAGCGUUGUCCGGAAUCACUGGGCGUAAAGGGCGCGUAGGCGGCGUUUUAAGUCGGGGGGUGAAAGCCUGUGGCUCAACCACAGAAUGGCCUCGAUACUGGGACGCUUGAGUAUGGUAGAGGUUGGUGGAACUGCGAGUGUAGAGGUGAAAUUCGUAGAUAUUCGCAAGAACACCGGUGGCGAAGGCGGCCAACUGGACCAUUACUGACGCUGAGGCGCGAAAGCGUGGGGAGCAAACAGG
rnacentral:rRNA from 1 species